rnacentral:tRNA from 1 species
CAAUUUAUAGUUUUUAGCAAAAUAUUUCAUUUACAUUGAAAGGAUUUCUGUGCAAUCCAGUAUAAAUUGA